UGUGGGAGCGAGCCUGCUCGCGAUAGCGUUGGGUCAGCAACAUUGAUGCGACUGACAGAUCGCAAUCGCGAGCAGGCUCGCUCCCACA
rnacentral:misc_RNA from 1 species